UACAUUUCUGUAAAUUAGAAAUCAAUCUCCACCUUGUUCAAAAAAAAAUACGACGCGACAGGUAAAAAUUCUUUUCCUCAUACUUUUCGAAUCGAAGGAAGAAUCGAAGAACGGUCGUCACGCGUAUCGUCCGCGUAUCGAAAAUCCAUUCCCUUUCAAAACGAAUAAUACCAUCAUGGAGUGACUUCUGGCCGGACGUGGAAAUAUUUCUUCCCAUGGUGGAGGAGAGGAAGUGGAGAGAGAGAGAGAGAGAGAGAGAGAGAGAGG